CCGCCUCGCAGGGCACACGGCCCCGCCCACUUCCUCCUGUCGCCGCCUCAGGCGUGCGGAGGUGAGCCGCGCCGCUGGCACGCGUCUAGGCCUUCGUUCUACAGCGACACAGGGGCCCAACUAUGCGGCCACGCCGCCGUGGCGGAAGCCUCUGAAACUGCGAGCCAGGGUUAGCCGUUUCCCUGACUCGGCUGAGCCUCAGGUAUUCGGUCCCGGCUGAAAGCUGCCCGAGAGCCUGCCGCAGGGCCCCCGAGCGCGGCCUUCCUGCUCCCGGCGGCGCUCCGCCACCUCCCGGCUGGGCGCAGCUCUGCAGGCCGGAGGGGCCGCCGGCUACGCCUCCUUCUCCCUCCCGAUGGGCUCCCCCAGGCAGGGGCCGCUGUCUGCGGGAAGUGCCCCUUCUCUCUCCGGGGACCGGCCGAAGAGGGCAGGAGCCAGGGCCGGCUGCCCCGGCGGUGGGCGGGCGGCGCGAGGCUGACGAGAGCUUCGGAGAGCGCCUGGCCCCGGACUAGCAAGACGCCUCCGCGGACGGUCCUGUGGGCCUGGGGUUCUAGAGGAAACAGAAGAGUGUUUGGGGGUGGGGGAAUUGACUCGCUUCUGGGGGCCAUCAGCAACCUUAAACGGAGCGCUUGGCGGGGCGCGGGCAGCCUCACUCCUGCUGCGCCCGGCAGAGGAGCGAGGGAGGGAGCCGGGCCGUGCCGGGUGCAGUUCCCGCUGAGGCCACUGGAUGGCGCGGGCGCCGCACUGUGCGCCCGCCGACCGCGGGGGUGGGGGUGGGGCUGGGGGUGCCCACGCCCACGGGAACCCCGCUUUUGCUUUCCAGCAACUGUCCUUGGGGUUUUGCCUCAGGAACAGGCUCUAAGGUUGUGUAGACCACGGAUGGACCGCAACAGAGUUCAGGAGGGAGGUUCUUGUCUAGUGUUGGAAGGGCAUUUCUUAUCGAUAUGAAAAGUUAUAUAUUUAGUAUACAUGAUUAUUUAUAUGCACAUAUAUGUAGUAAAGGGUCUGAACGAAGCUGUUUCUCAUAAGCUCUUUAGUAGCAUGUACAUUACAUUCUGUAAUAGAAAAAAUUUCUUAUUUUCCAGCCAUUUUUAUAGAAAUUGCACUCUGCAACCACUUCAGUUUUUUUUCUUUAAUAUGGGAAUUCUACUCUGAGCCUGAACUACCCGUAUUUCUUUGAGCUACCUAAACUCCAUAUUUCAGGCUGUCAAUCAUUGUUUCUUUAACCUUCUGUAUCCCUGUAGAAUUAGAGGGGUAGUUUUUGUUAUGAUUUUUGGAAAAAAAAUUAGAAAAUGCCUGAAUGUCUUCAUUGGGAGAACUUAUUAAAGUAAUCAUACUUCUCUGAGGUUUAUUUUCCAUCACAACUCAACCUUGCAUCAUAAAAAGAUUGGUAGACAAAUCAUACCAAAAGUCCAGUUUUUUAUUAUUGCAUUUUUAAAAGCAGUGUUUUCUUGUGGCCUUGAUAAUACAAAGAAGGAUAAUUGUGAGAGUGAGCCAACAGCACCUCCUCUGGGGUGUUGGUCUCUCGUGACCAUGGGAGGGUAACUGCAUAGGAAGGAGCUGUGGCAGAGCGUUAAUAAGGUAGAAGGUAGAAGGCUGAGCUGCUGCCUGGAACCCUUCAGAGACGAAACAGUAACUAGGCCAGACAGGCCUGUUUUCACGCUUUGAGGGAAAAGUGAGAAAUGGAAAAUUAUCUCUUUACCUUCCCAGCAAAUACAGGCCCUUGCUCAGAAUUUCCUCUGAUUCUGCAUCCCUGAGACACCAGCCGCCCAGUUGCAUGGAGUUGAACCCAGAGAAGCUCAGCUUUGUGAGAGUUCAGUAAAAUGAAUGUUUUUGCAGUUUUGGGGGCCGGUGGGUUCCUGGUGAGCUAACUUGGGGAGGGGCCUGGCUGAGCUCUAGCUACUCCCACACAGCCUUCUGGAUUGCUGUGGAGAGCUUUUCAGCCACCAGCUAAAAAUCGUGUUUUAAAUUUGGUAAGGUUUUUCCAGUACUUACUGAGGAAAGAGAUGACAUUUGGAGAGGGUUCACUUGCUGUAAUCAUCUCUACUCCAGCUGUGAAAACCACACUUUGGCUACAUUUGCCAAUAAGCUUUCUGCUGCUGUGGCUGCUGGUGACCCCCAGACCCUGCAAGGGGAUUGAAACAGGAGUUUCCCACCUCCAAGCCUGAGCACAGCUACGGAUUAUUCAAGACAUUUUGACUACCUACUGAGCUCCAGCUACACAGUUCCUCUUCAAACAUUCCCAUUAUCCCUGAGAUUCUGUUAACCAUGAAGAAAGCAAGGCUGAGGGAGGGUGAGAGACAACCCCAAGUCAUAGCUGCCUCCUGAAUGAAUGAGAGGUGGCUCACUUGGGCCUCUAGGUGUCAAGGGCCCUCACUGACUGAGUGUGCUGUGGAGGACAGUAGCACUCAGAGGAGCAAGUCUGUCUGGGAUGACUCUGCGUCCAAGCUCUUCCUACUCUAUCCCUGCCUCCAAAGAUGGAAAGCCAGGACAGAGGUGGGGGUGUGCUCAGUGCUACAGCGCGUGCUUAGCAUGUGUGAGGCCCUGGGUUCAGCCCACAGCACCAAGAUAAAGCCAGAACACUGUUCUUCAGCUUUAUAAAUUAAAGAUCCAAGAAUCUGUGUCUCUUACCCUUUCAUGCUUUAAUUGCAAAGCCAUUUAAACCUGUUAUCAUUCAUACCCUACACAAAGAAUAAAUUGUACUGUUACAAAUACAAACAUUACAAAGGAGGUCUGCACCCAGCCCACAAAGAAGACAGAAGCUCCAGGGCAGUUACACAGAGUUUUAUUUAUCUCCUGUCUCCUCUAUGGCGUCCCAGAUGGGUACUUUAGGGGCAGAGACUGGGAAAAUUCAAACAUUUCCACUGUAGUUUGUUACUUGUCAUAACACCUGCAAGUGACAGAAGGAACAAUUCUGGGCCAAGCAGGGAAGGUCGUGUAGAGGGUGCCUGUUCGGUGCGGACAAACAAAGCAACCUGUUAUAUACAGCAUGUUUUGCUUUGAAAACCUGAAAUUUUCAUGCCCCUUAAACAUGGCAGAACUGAUCUGAAAAUCUUAGCAUUAAGCAUUUUUUUAAAUUUGAAAAAUCAGCACAUGUGACCAAGAGGAGGAGUAGGAGUGGUAUUUUUUUAAAUCCAUGUUUGCAGUUCAUGUCGUUUUCGGUUUAUCUUGGGGAAUGGACACAGGCAUGUAACAGCUUGGUUUUUUUUUUUCAAUCCCCUUUCCCCAGAAGUGGCCUUAAAAGUUUGUCUUCACUUUGUGGGCCACAAAAGUGACAUGGCAGAAAACAGCUCUUGUCAGUUUUCCAGACAAAAGGAAAAGAUGAAAAGGCAAUAACUAAUGAAAAGAAAAUCUGUGAUAUGACUGACAAGGUGACGAAGGCGUGAGGUGAAAAGGCUGUCCUGGAUUCUGAUAGAAAUGGGAAGAACAGGUCUCCAUCUGAGCCAUGGUUCAGACUGUCCUCCGGGAAGGCUGCUUCAGCAACACCAGUGCCUAAGCUCUUUCCCUUCUCUCAAUUCACCUACAGUUUCUGUAAUACAGAGAACAUGCUAGCGUGCUUUAAAUAAUCCACUCUCUUGUGUUUGACUGAGCUGCUCUUUCCAAUACAGUGUAGGGUCAGAAACAGCAUUUACAAUGUGAAAAAAAGAGCUACCAAGUAUUGAAUCUUUGCCUUGGGGGCAAUUCUGAAGGGGUAGGGCCUCAGUGCUCCCUUCUGGAACAUUCUACAGGGUCCCAGGGCAUCAGAGGCCCCUUCCCAGGUCUGUUUUCCCUGUGAGGAACCAUGUUACCAUUGUACAUAACCCUCUAUCCAUGGAUUAAUAACUGAGACUGGAUAAUUUUUAUUUUAUUUUAUUUUUGUACCAGGGAUAGAACUCACAACCUUAUGCUUACCAUGCAGGUGCUUAUGCUGCUGAGCUAAAUCUCCAGCCCUUGAGACUGGGUAAUUUUUUAAAUAGCAGAAAUUUAUCUGAGGUCUGAAGCCUGGAAGUCCAGGUAUGAUGUCCAGCAGGUGUGGUGUCUGGUGAAGACAAGGUGGUGGCAGUUCCUGCAGCCUCUGGAGGUGAUGAAUGUUAUAUCUUUGCAUGGCAGAGGGAUAGAAGGGGACAAAGAUUCCCAAGCUACUCCCUCACUGCCUCAUGUAAGGGUUCUAAUCCUCUUGGAGGGUAGAGCCCUCUCGACCUAGUCACCUUCCAGGCCUCACCGCUGAAUCCCGUUGCACUGGGGACUGUUGCAGCAUGGGUUGAGAGUCAGUAUCCUGGCUGUGGCGUUCAUCGAGCCUGCCCCUGUGUCCGUGAAGGGAGGUGGGCUUUAGACUUGAGUGCCAGGGACAGUCACCCUGUGCCACCUCAUUCUACCCUGAAGUUCCAAGGAGACCACGGAGUCUGCAUUUGAACCAGACUUUUCAGGCUCCUGUUCCUCAGUGGAACUUAGACAAUGCCAGCAGAGGUCCAUCUGGUGCUAGGAGAACUCUGGACAGAGGAGGCCUGGCUCAGAGUAGGAGGGCAGAGAGAGGCCUCUUGCAAAGGAUUGAGGCCCUCCAGGUCCCCGCUCGAGGUUGAGGCAGCCUUGGGAAGUCUUGACCACUUUAGUCCCUUCAAGUCUGUUUAAUUGCAAUCUUGUGAUUGCUAUCACUUAUCUGGGGCCAAGCAACGAGUUGACCAAAUAAUGAAAUGCUUAGCUGGCUUAACAAAAAAACCAUGGAGACUUGCUAAAUAAAUUAGGAAAAACAAAGUGGAAACUGCAGAUCCAUGUAACAAAUUCAAAGACUGUUUCAAGAUGGAAUUAAAGAACGGAGUUUAAGGGAAAGGAAGUGGUUAGGAGGGGAACAGCUGACACUGACCUGGCUAUACCAAAGCUCUCCCCCAAAAACAAAUGCAUGGCUCUGUGGUAGCCAUUCUGUGUAUUGUUCCAUUGUUUUGAAGCGUAGCAUAACUUUGUUCCUUUAGAUCCUUGUAAUUUUAAAUGUGGGUAAAAGUGAACAUAGUCCGGUUAAACUGAAGUUUUCUUCUACAUGGCUUAAAAGAAAAGGUUUGCUAAGAAAAUCUAGAGGGCAAAGUGCAAGAGAAUGUUGGGGUUACUUAAGAAAUCAGCUCUGAGCUGGGCAUGCCUAUGCCUAUAACCUAGCAUUCAAGCUGGAUGAGAGGAAGAUUGCAAGUUCCAGCUCAGCCUGGCCAACUUAGUAACUCUGUGAGACUCUGUCCCAAAAUUAAAAAUAAAAGGGAGUGGGAGCACUAGGGAGUUAGCUCAGUGCAAAGGCCCUGGGGUCAGUCCCAAGUACUGCAAAAGGAAAAACAUAUCAGCUCUUUACAGGACUUUAGCAGGAUAACUGUCAAUAUGCAGAUGGUGCUGUGAGUUAUAAGUGACUCAUGAGUGUUUUGAAAGGUGCUGAACAGGGUGUCUUCCUAGAAAUACUUAGGCAGCAUUCUGAGUUAGAAGUAGCAACUUACAUAUCAUCCUUGAGUAAUGACUCCUAAGACCUUUUAGACCAGUAACAUUUUUUAGGUGUUUACUGCAGGCCUGUUCUUUGUCCCAAGCACUUAGUAUUCACAACUUCAAUACAGUAGUGGCUGCAGGCACAAUGCCCAUUUUACAGAUGAGGAAACUGGGGCCUUUAAAUUGCCCAGCUAAGUGGCAGGGAAACAAAGACUAGCACAACAAGUGUUCUGCCUUUAGAAAGUCUUCAAUCUGGUGUUCUUUAAGCUCUCUAAUUUAAAAAGUGGGCCAGUUUCCUCUUCCUUCCAGAUGAUCUGAAUUUGGUGAGUUUCACAAAAAUAAAAUGAUGUUGAAAUAUUUUUCUGACCAAUUAACUGUUGUCACAUAUUAUAAUAGAAAAAUGUGAGAGAAAGCUGUCUUGUGGAACAGACUGGUCUACACUGGGGAAUCAGCUGCCUGCAGAAUACUCUUAUUUCCAAUUGUAACAUGUUUAUGAUGCCUGAACAAUGACAAAGACAGUGAUGGUUUUGUAACAGAAUCUCCGGAAAGCUAUUAGCAGGUUGGCAUUUCUAAUUCAUGUGGAAAUGCUCGUUUUACCAGGGAAUUAUAGCAGCAGUGUUUGUUUAAUUAAGUCUUGAUGGUUUGGAAGGGCAGUUUUUUGAAGUUCACAGUAUUACAGACACACAUACAUGCAGACCAAAGAAAAUUGGUGGAGCAGCUAAAUGUCAGGUUAUUUUCUUUUGAGCAAUCACUUUGACAUGGUAUGAGAGCUGUUUAACAAAGGAAUUAUUUAAAUAUGUUGUAUCCUUUCAUAAGAAUUUUUUAAUGGUAACUACAAUUGUACUAGGCUUAUAAAUGCCCCAAAGGAAAGGGGCCUCAACCUUCUCCUCUUCCUUUCCUUUUUUCUCCUCUCCUUUUCUCUCUUCUCUGCUCUCGUCUCUUCCCUUCUUUCCUCUUCUCCUUCCCUCCCACCUUUCUUCCUUUCUUUCUUCUGGGGAUGAAACCUAGGCUCUCGAUCAUGCAAAGCAUAUCUGUAUGCUGUGCCACUGAGCUAAACCCCAAGGCCCCACCCCUUUUGACUAUAGCUACAGAGAUCACCUUAUGUUUUAGAAGGCAGGUUAGACUCUAGUAGCAUUGAUUGAUUGAUUGAUUUUUUUGAGACAGGAUCCUACGAUGGAGUCCAGGCUGGCCCUGAACUUACAGUCAUCCUCUUGCCUUUGCCACCCAAACUCAAGAUCUAGUUUCUUUUUAAAACUCUACAUAGAGCAUUGGCAUAUUCUAAUCGAUGUGGAAGACAUCAUUAUACCAACAAGCAAAACAGGUUUGAAUGAGAAAAGCGGAUGGAAGUGAGAUGGAGAGAGACUCAAGAGUGUGAAGGGGACAGGAAAGGGCGCCCACUACUGCCAGCACCCAGUCCAGGGAAGGGUGUCUCAGAUGCUAGCGCCCCAGGCAGGGUGCGCUGCUCCCAGGGCCCAGCAGCCUAAGCCAGCCCACCUCGACUCUGGAUUCAUUUGUUUGGAGUAAGCAUUGGUUGAGCACUCUAGUCAGAAAAGACAGCCUGUAACCAAGUAGGUAAAACCUGCAAGGAUUGCGAUGGCAUUUUGUGUGAAGGAAAUAGGCUAACACUGAGUGUGGUAGAGGGACAGGAGGGCUAUUACAUCAGUGGUCAGGGAUGGCCACUCUAGGUCGUGGCCACUGAGCAGGAAAACAGCCAGCCAUGGGACAGUCUAGCCCAGAGGUCCUGGGGUCGGAAGGAGUUUGAUGUGUGUAAGAUGAGCAAGAAGGUACCAGGGUAGCUGGACCGAACAGGGGAAAGUGGGAGAUGAGACCAGAGAGCACCCAGGCCAGGCUAACUCCAACAGGGGCCUUUUAGGCCCAGCUAGGUGCUUGCAUUUUCUUCCUUGUAGAAUGGAAAUCACUGGAAGACUUCAAGCAGGAAAGUGAUACAGCUGAUUGUAUUCUUCAAAUGUUUCUGUGAGUACUGCAUGGAGACGAUUACAGGAAGGCGAGAGUGCUGAGGUGUGUGAGGAAUAGGCGUGCGGCCGGCAGGGAGCCGAGGCCUGGGGGACACUUCUGGAGUGGGGAGGAAAGGGGACUGGGCUGCCACCUGCAGCACUGGGUGAGCCGGGAAAGAGUCGAGGGGCCAUACUGUAGACCUGAGGUGUUGGGGCUGCCUGGGUUCUGCCGGUCCUCCUGAGUUCUACAGUCUGCAGCUGAGGGGGUGCUGGGGGCCAGGAGACGCUGAGACCCAGAGCUGCACCCUGGCCUUGGCCCUGAUUGCGGUGGGAUCCAAGAGGAAGGAAGCAGUGAUGCUGGGAGCUUUGGUCUUAACAUUUGUGACAGAAAAGAGCUGCGACUCUGCAGACACCCAAGUUAGCCAUUCCCACACGUCACACUGCAGCUGUGGGACCCAGGAACAGUGCAACAGCGAAUAACCUCAAGUUUAAAAAAAUUAGAAUGAAUGGGGCAGAAGUUAUGCAUAGGGAAGGGUACUUACCUAGCAUGUGAGAGGCCCCUAGCUCUCCUGGUAUGCCUGCCACCCUCCCCUGGCCCUAGUCAGGUACCUAAAGCAGGGUGCAGGGCUUGUAGGAGCCCGGAGAAGCUGAGGUGCAGCCAGGGGAGGGUGCUAGCUUGCAGCAGAGUCUCCUUGAGCACUUGCACAGGGGUAGCUGAUAUUCUAAAAGUGCUUCACGGGCCGGUGACCACACCUGUACCCCCGCACUGGGGAGGCUGAGGCAGGAGAAUCACCAUGAGUUCCAAACCAGCCAGAUACAUAGUGAGAACAAGGUCAUCCUAAGCUGCAAGUGAGACUCUGUCAAAAAACAAACUAAAGAUGCUUAAACCCACUCUACCCCUGCCUCAAGUUUAGGGGACAGAGAUUUGAGGGAAACUAAACUAGAGGCCAGGAGAUCAAUCUAGUUUGCAUGGUGGGUGAGAGGCAAAGGCCUGACUGGACACAGGGAGGAAGAGGAGGAGAUGGACUCAGGGAAGACCGGGGAGCAGAGUCCAGGAGGAGGGUGGCACAGGACAGGGAGGGAAAGGGGAAGGUGGGAGGCCACUCCCUGCCUGCCUGAGGAUAGCGCCUGCUUUUCCAGCCGCUGCCCGCUCAGGACAACUUCCUCCCAAAUCUAGGAGUGAGGUCCUGGGCUCGCUGUCCAGCAGCUCCAGCUGGCUGGGUCCCAGGCAGCAGCUCUCAGCCAGGGAACGCUCGGGUUACAGCUGUGUCCUGGCUUCAGAAACGGCCUCUCCAUGGCCCCACUUAAUAAAGUUACCAAAUGUGAGGGGUGACGGAUUCCUGGAGCAGGACUCGUGGAGCUCAGGGCCCAUCCUAGAGGGCUGACUCGCAGGUGUCAGCCCCACUUAGAGGUGACAGGCAACCUGGCAGUGCCAGUCAGAAAAAUGCCACCUUGGAUGAGUUGUACAGUGGGCUGUGAUGUUCAGAAGUUAUUUUCCUUUUCUACCUAUUUGUUAGUAAGUAGGGAGAACAUUAAUUUCAUUUUAUAAAUGUGUAAAACUUCAGAUUAAUGGUUUCCAGUUUUAGAGAAUGCACCUGGAAGCCGCUAUUUCUAACAAAGCUGUCCUUUUUGUAAUAAAGCAGUCCAUGCCCUUGUGGGUGAGGCCUCAAAGCCCCAGAUGACUUUUACUCAGAGUGGCUUUCUGCUGGGUCUGCUUCUCCCCAGUGCCUGCUUCCAAGAAGGCUGCCUGCGGGAGGGUCCUGGACCUGUGGUCCACCGGCUUCAGGGGAAAUACUUGAUUACAGUCCCUGCAGAGAAAGGGCAGCAGGUCAGGGUGUGAGCGUCCUAGAAAAGGUGAUUGUCUCCUAGAGAAAGGUUUUUUGCUUUUGUUUGUUUGAUUUUGUGAUACUGAGGACUGACUCCAGGACCUUCACCUUGAGCUGUAUGCCCAGCACUUUUAUAUUUUGUUUUGGUAUAGGUUCUCACUAAGGCACUAAGUUGCCCAGACUAGCCUGAAACUUGAGAGACUUCCUGCCUCAGCCUCCCAGUGUGCUGGAAUUAUAGGCAUGUGCUACUACGCCCAUCCCAGAAAAAAUUUGAGGCACGAUUGUGUAUUCAGGCUUACUGGGGCAGGAUUGUAAUGGCAAGGGUAAGGAGGAGAGUGAGUGAGACAGGAAAGCGCGUUGUUUCUUGGUCGCAUGGAGACUCUUCCAGAUGGGCCAGGUAGAUCCACCACACCCCAGGUGGGACAGGAGGGAAAAGGAAUUUACCUGCUGGCUUUUGCCGUCUCCUGGCUCCAGUGGUGACAGUUCUUCGUGUGAGGCAUUCACUCCCAGACGGGCCUGUAGAGUGGAUUUGGCUGCUCCUAAGUCACUGGGAAGCUGGCGCCCACUUCUGUUUGUGUUGGGCCUGGCAGGGCCUGAAAACACAAACCCAGUGUCUUAGUUUGUCUUCUGCUAUUAUAACAGCAUGACUAAGACUCGGUAAUUCACAGUGGACAGGAAUUCAUCUGGUGUGGCUCCAGAGGCCAGAGGCCUGAGAGCAGGGCCCUGGCACAGCACAAGGGCUUGGUGCUCCGUCGUUCUUUGGUGGAAAGCAGAAGGGCAGAGAGGGCGAGGGGCCAAGAAGGGCCAAAUUUGCUUUUUUUUUUUUUUAUUGGUACUGGGGAUCGAACUCACAGCCACGUGCUUGCAAGGCAGAUGUUUAUGCCGCUGGGCUAAAUCUCCAGCCCCUGGAUUUGCUUUUAUAACAAGGAGCUCUUGCGGUAACCAACCCACUGCUAUGAUGCCAACAUUCAUUCAUUCAUUGAUUCGGGCAGAGUAUGACUAAUUACCUCUGCUCCCAGGGCUUUGCAGGGGGACAGCCUCCAGGAUUAGUUCAGAACUCACCAGCACAGUUCAGCGAGGGUAUUAGGGGUCAGGCAGUGGUAGCCAUGGCCAAGGCCAGGGGACAGGUGGGACUAGGCAGGCUUGGGAGACAUAAACUGGGUUUGGUUCCAACACAAACAAGAAGCUAAGAGUAAAGAGCAGUUACUUUCUUGCCAUCCCCCUAAACCCAGGCCCACCCGCCUCCAAAAUGCUGUUCACAGCUUAUCCCUUUCUUUAGGUUGGCGUUUGUCUUUAGUACUAUAUGACAACAGAGAGGGAAGUCUGAGAGAAAUAGUAAAGGGAAAGAAUUCAAAUUUUCUAAUUUUGCAAAUUACCUCAUUUCUCUGUUGCGCUCUACUACUCAUAUGGUUUAUGUCUAGAUGUCCCCCAAAGCCUCAUACACUUGUAGAUGGGACUUUUUCAGAAGUAGCUGAACUUAGAGUUUGUGAUUGACUCACGGUUCAAUGCUGGGAUGAAGGGUGUGGAGAUUAAGGGUGAGUGAUGGGUCAUGGCUGGGAUCAGUCUGCUGAUUGGAUUGGCACUGCCCUGAUCCCAGCAGUCUGGGUGAGAUAAAAGGGGCAGAAAGAAACAUGUCUUCUGCUUUUCUGGCUUACUUUUGCUGUCUUUUGCUACCAUGAACUGUUUCUCCUCUGUGAUGCCCCUCUGCCAAUCUCCCCUGCCUUAGAGCCAGCCAAUUAUGGACUGAAACCUCUACAAACUGUGAACUAAAUAAACCUUUCCUCCUUUCACUUUGAGUGUUGGGUAUUUUGUCUCAGCAAUGAGAGGAAAAUAAUUAAGACAACUAUUUUUUGACCUUGAAAAAGUCAAUGAACUCCUCUGCACCACAAGAGGAAUUUAAGGAGGGUCAAAGUAGUCCAUGCAGCAUAGGGUCCUUGUUAGAAUUUGGUGAAAUGAAAUAUGCACCAGCACUUUUAAAACCUUGGCACGAGCUGCAAGGUGAGAGGCUAUUAUUGUCCUCCAUCUUCUACGGCCCUGCUCAUCAUCCCUCCUGAGAUAUUUUUAGCUGGUUUCCCACUCCCUUGGGCUUGGUCCCAGCAGAGUUCUUGCUACAUCCUGUCUAUUUCUGCCCCCUAGAUUCAAGUCCUGUUCUUGCCUCCUCUGCUCCCUGACACUGUCUGUCCCUGAACUCCCAGCCACUGGGGCAUGUGAGGGAGAAUUCGGACCUGCCACAGGCCUCCUAUUCUCUUAGCUCUAAUGGGCACUAAUUAUUAGGAUAAUGAUUUUUUCAAUCUCACAAGAAAAGGAGCUUCCUUUCAACGUAGGAGCAAGUGCAGCACAAGUACCGAAGUAUCAGGAACCCUGCGCGCCUGCCUGGGGGAAGCAGCGCCCACUGUAUGCUAGGGGAAGGGGACGCAGGCCACCUGUCCCUUUCAUUGCAGCACUUUCCCCCUUAACGCCCUGUCCUCCACAGUGUCUCUGUUUAGCCUCACAGUGACCCCUGUGAGCUGAGCAGGGCACCUCCCUUUUCACAGCAGAAUCGGAAUUUAGAGCAGACAGUGAGUUGCCCCAGGCCAGGGCGGCCAGUCCGAGGCCAGCCCAAACCAGAAGCUGUGUCUUCUCAUUCCAAGUAUUUUUUUCACACAUUGGUGCCAUUUGUUUUGGGUUGUCUCUGCUCCCUUUGUUCUUGAUUUUCAGAGAGCUUCUGUCUCAAGAGAAAGUGCCCUGCUCCUGACAGAGGCGUGGGUUCUUGGUACAGCCAUGAUUUUAACUCUGCACAGAAAGAGAGUCCUGCAGCACCAAGUCCACAUGGCCUCCUUCUGCCCUGAGGUCAGUGGAGGCCUAAACAGAAGUUUCCUCAGAGAACAGAGGGCACUCGUGGUGCUGUGAAUCUGCUCCAGAGUUGAGGGCAGGAGAAAGGUCCAGGGCAUCCCUACCUCAGCCUCCUAUCUUGGGGCCCCCCUUGUGGUAGGGGCAUCUGGGCCUCACCCUGCACCUCCAUUCCUAGAGGCACAGAAGUGGUGUCUGGCCUCAGGGAUUGCAGGUCUACAUGUGUGAAGGUAUGAAACAUGGCCAUGUGAUGGACACUUAGGCUUUCCUUUCUCCUCGCUUCCCAGGAACCAAAGCCAUUUACACUGGGUUGGCUCAAGUUGAGUCCUUGUCAGUCCCCGUCCCAACUCUUCAUUCAGAAUCCAGAACAGUAGAAAAAGGAGGAGCUGGGGAAAGAAGAAGGAUGUGACCAGAGUGAAUGGAAGCGGAUGGACCAAGGAGUUUCGGGAAGUGAAUUUCAUCAUUGCAGAGGAUGGUAUUUGGCAAAAUAAAUGGCCUGAACCUUCCCAUAGUGUAAAUUCUAAUACUGACAGUGAUGUGGAAUGGUAAUGGCUUGGAUCAUCAGUUCAUGCAAGAUUUGCUGUGUAUCAGUGUCUUCAGCGCUCUCCCAUUGCACGCAUGAGUCUGCUUUGCCUCACUGUGCCAGUGGGCACAUCCGUCUUUGACGAUGAGAUCUAAGUGCAAGUCUUCCUUCUCAGUGAAGGUCUUUCUCCAUGUUCUCCAGAUCAGGGCAUUACCAUCUGUAAGGCAGAUCCCCCCUGUAGAGACUUCCAGCCUGAGACUCCACUGAGCCCACCUGCUCCACCCCGAUCUGCAGUGACCCUCCUUGAGCCCUAUGCCCUGUGUACUGUGUCCUGCCCAGCUUUCUGGUCACGCUGCUAUUAUCUGGGAGCAGAGGUGGCUGUGUCCACCAGGAGUCCUGGCUGCAGGGAGGGGCUGGCCAGCGCACAGAUGUUCCACAGCGGAGGUCAGUAGCACCCAGGCCAGGAGACCCUGGUUCUGCCUUCCAGCUUCAACCUCCAGCAGGAGAAAGAGUUCCCCAUGUGUGCGCCAUGUCUGUGCCGGUCUCCUUCCCGCUUUCCCUUUCUCAGCACAUGUUUCCUUUACUGAGUAGAAUCAGACAAACAUGCAGGAACGGCCCCUCAGGUGUGAGCAGUUUAGUUACGUGGCGGGUUUGAGCUAAGGGUGGCACUGGGGAGUGUCACUCAGUAUUCACACAGAAUGACUUUCCUGUCCAGCAAGCUGGGGGCUGGUGUUUGCAGCUGAUCAUCACAGGGAUCGUGCUCCAACCUAAUUCCAGAAGAACCAACUUCCCUAGCAGAACAGACCACUGGGAACAACAUUUAAAUGAAAAUGUGGGUGAGAGUGUGAAACAGAUGAAAGGGGUUUGGGACAUCUAAGGGGACUGUUUGACCUUCCAAGACUGGUCUGAGGGUCUGUAUGUGUGGCUGUGAGCUGCUGAAGGCUGCCUGCCCCACCCACCCCAUACAUGGUUAUGAGAUUCCUGCAUUUGUUCAUAUAGAUCUUCAGUAUACUCCUGGGUCCUAUUCCUUCUCCUCUCUCAGACACUUAACUCCUUGAGAAUAGUGUCUUGGUGCCUCUGUUGUCUCUGACUGAGUCCCGAGCUUGCUCAGUAGUAUGGCCUGCUCUUUAGAUAACCACAUGGUUCAUGAAGUGCACAAAACCCCAGAGGUGAACUCAACCCAGGUAGGAUUAUGGACAGCAACUUGCUGGCCCCUGCCCUGCUGUGUGCUUUGUCUCCUCUCCAUUCAUGUAUUCUAAUGAUCCAGUCACUACAGCCUCCCUCAGAUUUGUAAGCAUUAAAAUCUAUAGCUUUCUCCUGGUGGGAGAAGAGCCUUCAGUCCCCAGGACCAAAAAAGGGAAUGUGCGUUUACGGGGUCUGGGCAGGCUGCCUGCGGUGCAGACAGAGCCAGGCAUCUGGGCAUUCCUGUCUACCACAACCUGUCUUCCCCACCACGACUUGGGCCAGCCCCUGGAGACGGCUGUGGUUAUUAAGACUUCACAGGACCCUGAACUACUGGCAACACAGCUACUGCUGGCAUCCUAGGACCACCCUCUCCUUCCCCUCAUCCCUCCUCCACAGGACUGAGCGCUCUGCAAAAAGAGAGAAGGGGCAGCAUGCCUUUAGCACCACAUGGAUGCCCCAGGGUGCAGUGAAUAGGGCCCUGUUCAUGUCCUGGACUUCAGGGGCUGCUUAGAGCCCUCCUCCUGCAGCUGUUCAGGCACUGACGAGGCUGUGCGGCUCGGCACCCACUCAGCACAUGGCUGCCACUUUCCUCUCCCCAAGGCUGCCUUUGGUUGCCACCUCGUCUCCUUGGGUUUCUCAGACAGCGGCUCCUUCUUAUGGGUUCCUGGGUCCAGCACACACAGGGAUCUAUGGGAGAUCCUAGGAGUCAGAUGUGUGGCUCUUCAGAAUAAAAGACUCAAACUGUGAGGAAGGAAGAAAGCAUUAAUGGAAGGGUAGAGGGGCUGAGCACUGGGCAUUUAGAGGCCUGUCAUGGGGUCAGAGGGUGGAGACUGGUUAGAAGACAGGUCCACAGGAAGUCCAUAAGCAAUGCCCGGUGGGGGCCUGCUUUCAUGGUGUCCUGAUGACGUCUUAGGUAUAGAGUUGAACAAAAAAGGACAUGGGUUUCCCAACAUCAAGAUGAACAGGGAGGACUUGACAACCCUUCAGGCCCAAUUUAGGUUUUCAAUCUGUGAUUUGGUAGGAGGAAGGAAAGGAGCAGUGAUGACUUUUCCCUGACCUUACUCCAGCACACCAUGGCCUGAGCUCGACUGCACACUCUGAUAGUCAUGGGCUAAACCCCUCCCUGACCAAAGCAUUAGACAAGCCCGGACCUAGUAGAGAAAGUAGGUAAACGUAGCCCCUACACCCGGAGCAAGUCAGAACCUAACUUUAGCUUCCUAUGACCAUAUGCAAAACUCACUCCAAAAACUCACCACUUCUCCUUUCCAUCUUGCACCUGUGGUGUUUGCAUACCUGGACUAUCCAUUAAGGCAUCUUGUUCCCUUAGCAACCAGCUCCUCCCCCUCCUGCACCCCAGAGGCAAAGCCUGCCUUUCUGCACUUGUGCUCUGAUGGGAGGGCCCUGGUAGAGGGCAAGGGACUCAGCAGGUACGAAGUUUUGAGCAGAACAAAGGAUUGUGAGGUCUUGCGUGGCCCUGUGGGAUGGGAUAUUGUCAGCUCAGGGGCCUGUAGUCCAGUUUUGCAAAUUCUCUGGGCUCCUUAUUUCCCCCUUCUCCUGGUUGCCUGCCUUUUGUUCUUAACACAGUUCAUUACCUCCCUAAACAGAGGUUGAACAAAGAAAAUGAAAGGAGAAAAAUGGGGAAAUGAAUACUCUGGUAAAAGAUCUGGUGGGGAAGGAAGUUAAAACCAAUUACCUUGAGAUUUCAAUUAUUCCACCUACUGUCUCCACUGCCUGCUUCUUGCUGGUGCAGAGCCAGAGAUCAGCAUUAAAUGCUGGGUGCAAAACGCUUUCAUACCCACUUGCCAACGAGUUCUUGACCUUUGACUUGAAAGCUGGUGAGUCCCGGGGUCAGUUGCUCCCCUGUGACCUGUGCAUUGUCCAAUGCCACACACACGCCCAGCUGCAAACAGAGGGCUCUGUCUUGUGAGGACCGCUCAGGAAGGAGCCAUGAGUGCCUCCCUUGGCACCAUAGAGAUAAAGGGCUGGGCCGUGGGAAUGGAGGGGCUAGAAGAGGCAAAGAAGCAUGUCCUCCUGCAUUGCUCCCCGGAAGCACGCCAGAGUCCUGAUGUCUGGGCCAGAGGGAUUGCGACAUUUUAGAGGAACAUCAAGGAACAGAUCUGAGCAGUGAGAAGAGGCCAACAAGUAAAGCCCCGAUCGCCUGUCUGGCGAGAAGAGCACAUCUAGCUGCCAGGAAAGUCAGCGCUAGACUUCUCUGCCUCUUGCUUUCACCUUACUUAUUCUUCCUCCCCAGCAGACUCUCAUGCUAAGAAACGCAGAGCUGGGUCUCACCGUCCUGCAGGGCGUCUCAAGCGCUCCACUGAAGUCAGAUGGAGCUGUGCACCCGUGGGAAAUGCCACAGCUGAUGGGAGAGAAGUGCGUCUCUUCUCAGUAAGCAGGCGCUUACUGAGGGAGGGAUGUGUGGCAGAAUUAUUACCCCAAUUUGACUAUUCCUACCCUGCCCGUGGCAGAUCUUGGCCCCUCAGAAGAGAUGUCGUUUUCUCUUAAGGAAGAACUGUGGACGCUCUGGGCCUGGAACCCCACAUGAGCUGCAACUCAGAAAGCGAAGUCCAGGGAAUUAAUACAACGCCCGUGCCCAUGUAGCUUUCUGAUAUAACUGAUGGCGUCUGGGUACACAGAGGUACAGCUCAUCCCACCCAACAGGGCUUCAGAAGCCCACGGUGAGAGUCGGGUGAUACAGAGGAAACACUGGCACGCAGGCCGCUGCGGAGCAGCACAGAAUGCACAGGCACAAGGAUUCGCUAAAGGCCCCUCCAGCUCCAGCCACGGUCCAGGCAGCACGCAGCUUUGCAGUCGAUGAUGUGACGCUUUCUGCUCAGUGUCCCACCAGCAGCACCUGCACCGCGGAGACUCCUGGCUGUGCCGAGGGGAGGGCUCCAGAGGAAGGGCUGGGGCAGAUGAGCUGCCCAACUCUCCCACCCUUUUCCCCACGUUUAGAGCGGUGACAGAAAGUGUGGAGUGACAGGAGAACCACUAGAGAAUGAUUUUGCAGAUACAACCUAGAGAAGACAGCGUUUUUGUUUUGUGUGGACCUGGAGUAGGCCUGGACGCGAAGGGCUGGGAGCCAGGCGGUGCCCCUGGGCAAAGCAGAUGGGUGUCGAGGACUGAGAUGCAGAAGGGGGUCUGUCUGUUUGUCUAUCUGUGUCUGUCAGAGAAAGAUAGAAAUGUGUAGGAGGGAGAACUCCAAAUAAACUCACCUUUGAAAUGACCGUUUCUCCUUGGAAA